AGAUGCAGAUGACUUUUUAAAUUUAAAGUCCAUGACUCAAGAGCAAAGAGGGUUUAUAUCCCGCUUUUUAAACUCUCCAAAGCACCUUGAUUUGCACAGCCCUUCCUGAAAACAGCAAUCUACCUACCCUCUCAUGGACCCUGGUUGGUGCACAGCAUGUAUGGUGGCGUUCCCGUGAGGUCUGGAAGAGAAUGCUGUUGGUCUAACAAUCCCUGCAUUCACACAUGCCCACCCAGGUCCGCUGGGCUUUGUUACCCUCCUCUCAUGGAAGCUGA